rnacentral:rRNA from 1 species
CACUGAUUAUUUAAAGAGCCGCGGUAAUUUGACCGUGCAAAGGUAGCAUAAUCAUUAGUUUAUUAAUUGUGAACUUGUAUGAAAGGUUUGACGAGGAAAACUCUGUCUCUAUUUUAUUUAUAGAAUUUAACUUUUCAGUUAAAAGGCUGAAAUUCUUUUUUGGGACGAUAAGACCCUAUAGAGCUUUAUUUUAUUUCUUACAAGGUUUAUAUUGUUAAUUUUUUAUUUUGUGGUGUUAAAAUUUUGUUGGGGCGAUGUGAAUAAUAGAUAAACUUUUCAUUGAUUUUUUCAUUGAUUUAUGUUUUUUUUGAUCCAUUAUUAUUGAUUUUAAGAUUAAGUUACCUUAGGGAUAACAGCGUAAUUAUUUUUGAGAGUUCAUAUUGACGAAAUAGAUUGCGACCUCGAUGUUGGAUUAAGGUUAAAAUUCUGGUGUAGCAGCUAGUUUAUUUGGUCUUCGACCAUU